AACGCGUAAAGAACUUGCCUCACAGCUAGGGACAACAUUUGGAAACGAAUGCUAAUACCUAAUAUUAUGAUAAUAGGGCAUCCUAUAAUUAUGAAAGCUAUAAGCGCUGUGAGAGAGCUUUGCGUCCCAUUAGCUAGUUGGAGAGGUAACGGCUCACCAAGGCGAUGAUGGGUAGCCGGCCUGAGAGGGUGAUCGGCCACAAGGGGACUGAGACACGGCCCUU
rnacentral:rRNA from 1 species